UGUGUAAUUUACUGAUUUUGAUAUAUUUCCCUUUUGACAGAACAAUAAAUUCAGAUAUGACUUAAUUGCUCGUAAAUAUUCAAUGUAUUGAUUAUGAAUUAUAAAGCAUAAAGCAAUAAUCGUGUUUUAAGCUAUUAAUUGUUUUUGAAUUUUUAAACAUACAAUAUAAGCACAAUAAGCAUGUGAUGAUAAAUAAUUACUUACAGAGAUGAUAGCAUAAUGGUAAAAGCCACCCAGUGAUGAAAUUAUUUUUAGAUUCUAAAUGAAGCAAGGAAUGUAUUGAUUUUACAAUGAAGUUAAUUUUUUUUUAUUUUUAAAC